GAUGAACGCUGGCGGCGUGCCUAAUACAUGCAAGUCGAGCGAACGGACGAGAAGCUUGCUUCUCUGAUGUUAGCGGCGGACGGGUGAGUAACACGUGGAUAGCCUACCUAUAAGACUGGGAUAACUUCGGGAAACCGGAGCUAAUACCGGAUAAUAUUUUGAACCGCAUGGUUCAAAAGUGAAAGACGGUCUUGCUGUCACUUAUAGAUGGAUCCGCGCUGCAUUAGCUAGUUGGUAAGGUAACGGCUUACCAAGGCAACGAUGCAUAGCCGACCUGAGAGGGUGAUCGGCCACACUGGAACUGAGAAACGGUCCAGACUCCUACGGGGGGCAGCAGUAGGGAAUCUUCCGCAAUGGGCGAAAGCCUGACGGAGCAACGCCGCGUGAGUGAUGAAGGUCUUCGGAUCGUAAAACUCUGUUAUUAGGGAAGAACAUAUGUGUAAGUAACUGUGCACAUCUUGACGGUACCUAAUCAGAAAGCCACGGCUAACUACGUG
rnacentral:rRNA from 1 species